AAAAACACUAUGUUUAUAAAUUUUUUGUAGUAUAAAAGAAAAAGUCAUUUUUUAUUUGAUACGUUUAUAGGGGAAAUAUGGCUGAUAUUAUCAAAUUUAUUUAUGUUAUAAUUAUCGUACUCUUUGUAUUUUUCAGUGGAAAGAACACUGACGCAAAGAAUAUAUGCAUUGAUGAUGUUCAUUGUCAAAAAUAUAAGUGCUCGCCUGGUUUAUAUCCAACGUGUAUAAAUGGCUGGUGUGAAUGCAAGUGAUUAAAUUAUAACAUAGUUUCCAUGAAUACCAAACAUAAGUGCGUACACAAACAUCCUCUUAAAUGUUUCAUAGUCUUCCUUUCUUUAGAUUUGUUUGAUGAUUUUUCUAUAGAUUUUCGUUUAUGUUCUUUUAUGUUUGUUUUUCAUUUUUUCUCUUUCAUAAUAUAUAUUUUGUUUGCGGCUUAGGAUAGUUGGAUUUUUUGUUGGUAAAUAGUUUAAUGAAUAAAAUUUUACCUUUAAAAUAAAUAUAUAGGAAAUCCGAGGUUCAAACCUUACCUUUACAUAUAUAACGUAUAUAAUAUCUCUAUCGGCUGAGUUAUUCCUAUAGAGAAGGAUAAUCGGAUUCCUUGAUGCUUAUAUACUUAGGGAUAAAAUAAGAAUGGAUCUUGAUGUUCACAUCAUCAAAGCAACGUCAUGUGGAUGUUAACAGCAUCAAAGCACCCUCAGCUCCACUAUACCACGUUGCAAUAAUAACACGCAGAAAGUAAAGAAAGAGCUUUUCUUGCAUAUGCAGCCAAAAAAAGUCGCAUGGGUGAAUGGGAUAAUAGGGAAGGAAUAAAUGGAUUCCGCAAAUAUUUCUUUUAUAAUUAUCAUUACAAUUUUCGAAACUCCUUCACUUGUAUGUGUGAGUUUAUAAUGGUUUUGUCAUUUCGUCUAUCUACCCAAAAAAAAUUUAUCAUUACAAUAUAUUUUUUUGACAAA